rnacentral:lncRNA from 1 species
AAAAGUUAAAUUCCACCCCAAAAAUGUCAUAUUACAGUAAUUUUUUGUAAAAAUUGCACGGGGCGUCCUAUUUGAUCGUCCACGUUUAACUGAUACUUAUUUUUUAAUUUUUUUUAACUUGUACGUACUUUUUAAAUAACUUUAACUUUCUUUCUUUUCCGCUUCAGUACCUCACCAGAAGAAAGCAGGCGAAUUAGGCAGCUACGUGUAGGAUAGCUAUUUUUUUUUUCCUUAUUUCCAUUUGAGAUUCUUGAAUGGAUGCCCUUAUUCUUGUAUGCUUGUCAUACUACUGCCUUUCGUUUAAGCUUGUAGUUCCAUCUGAAUUAUGCAGGUUCCAG